CACGGGGGUGUGCCUAUACAUGCAAGUCGAACGCUUUGUGGUUCAACUGAUUUGAAGAGCUUGCUCAGAUAUGACGAUGGACAUUGCAAAGAGUGGCGAACGGGUGAGUAACACGUGGGAAACCUACCUCUUAGCAGGGGAUAACAUUUGGAAACAGAUGCUAAUACCGUAUAACAAUGACAACCGCAUGGUUGUUAUUUAAAAGAUGGUUCUGCUAUCACUAAGAGAUGGUCCCGCGGUGCAUUAGCUAGUUGGUAAGGUAAUGGCUUACCAAGGCGAUGAUGCAUAGCCGAGUUGAGAGACUGAUCGGCCACAAUGGGACUGAGACACGGCCCAUACUCCUACGGGAGGCAGCAGUAGGGAAUCUUCCACAAUGGGCGAAAGCCUGAUGGAGCAACGCCGCGUGUGUGAUGAAGGGUUUCGGCUCGUAAAACACUGUUGUAAGAGAAGAAUGACAUUGAGAGUAACUGUUCAAUGUGUGACGGUAUCUUACCAGAAAGGAACGGCUAAAUACGUGCCAGCAGCCGCGGUAAUACGUAUGUUCCAAGCGUUAUCCGGAUUUAUUGGGCGUAAAGCGAGCGCAGACGGUUAUUUAAGUCUGAAGUGAAAGCCCUCAGCUCAACUGAGGAAUUGCUUUGGAAACUGGAUGACUUGAGUGCAGUAGAGGAAAGUGGAACUCCAUGUGUAGCGGUGAAAUGCGUAGAUAUAUGGAAGAACACCAGUGGCGAAGGCGGCUUUCUGGACUGUAACUGACGUUGAGGCUCGAAAGUGUGGGUAGCAAACAGGAUUAGAUACCCUGGUAGUCCACACCGUAAACGAUGAGUGCUAGGUGUUUGAGGGUUUCCGCCCUUAAGUGCCGCAGCUAACGCAUUAAGCACUCCGCCUGGGGAGUACGACCGCAAGGUUGAAACUCAAAGGAAUUGACGGGGACCCGCACAAGCGGUGGAGCAUGUGGUUUAAUUCGAAGCAACGCGAAGAACCUUACCAGGUCUUGACAUCCCUUGACAACUCCAGAGAUGGAGCGUUCCCUUCGGGGACAAGGUGACAGGUGGUGCAUGGUUGUCGUCAGCUCGUGUCGUGAGAUGUUGGGUUAAGUCCCGCAACGAGCGCAACCCUUAUUACUAGUUGCCAGCAUUCAGUUGGGCACUCUAGUGAGACUGCCGGUGACAAACCGGAGGAAGGUGGGGAUGACGUCAAAUCAUCAUGCCCCUUAUGACCUGGGCUACACACGUGCUACAAUGGCGUAUACAACGAGUUGCCAACCCGCGAGGGUGAGCUAAUCUCUUAAAGUACGUCUCAGUUCGGAUUGUAGGCUGCAACUCGCCUACAUGAAGUCGGAAUCGCUAGUAAUCGCGGAUCAGCACGCCGCGGUGAAUACGUUCCCGGGUCUUGUACACACCGCCCGUCACACCAUGAGAGUUUGUAACACCCAAAGCCGGUGGGGUAACCUUCGGGAGCCAGCCGUCUAAGGUGGACAGAGUUGC
rnacentral:rRNA from 1 species